UACGAAGGGGCUAGCGUUGUUCGGAAUCAGCUAGGGCGUAAAGCGCGCGGUAGGCGGGUCGUUAAGUCAGGGGUGAAAUCCCGAGGCUCAACCUCGGAACUGCCUUGAUACUGGCGACCUGGAGUCCGGGAGAGGUGAGUGGAACUCCUAGUGUAGAGGUGAAAUUCGUAGAUAUUAGGAAGAACACCAGUGGCGAAGGCGGACUCACUGGCCCGGUACGUCGGAC
rnacentral:rRNA from 1 species